UACGUAGGUGGCAAGCGUUGUCCGGAAUUAUUGGGCGUAAAGCGCGCGCAGGCGGCCUUUUAAGUCUGAUGUGAAAGCCCACGGCUCAAACCGUGGAAGGUCAUUGGAAACUGAAAGCUUGAGUACAGAAGAGGAAAGCGGAAUUCCACGUGUAGCGGAUGAAAUGCGUAGAGAUGUGGAGAACACCGAUGGCGAAGGCAGCCUCCUGGGCCAACACUGACGCUCAGUGCACGAAAGCGUGGGGAGCAAACAGG
rnacentral:rRNA from 1 species